UGCGUAGGCGGGUCUUUAAGUCAGGGGUGAAAUCCUGGAGCUCAACUCCAGAACUGCCUUUGAUACUGAGGAUCUUGAGUACGGGAGAGGUGAGUGGAACUGCGAGUGUAGAGGUGAAAUUCGUAGAUAUUCGCAAGAACACCAGUGGCGAAGGCGGCUCACUGGCCCGUUACUGACGCUGAGGCACGAAAGCGUGGGGGAGCAAACA
rnacentral:rRNA from 1 species